rnacentral:rRNA from 1 species
UACGUAGGAGGCGAGCGUUGUCCGGAAUCAUUGGGCGUAAAGAGCGCGCAGGCGGCUUGGCAAGUCGGGUGUGAAAUCCCGGGGCUCAACCCCGUGACUGCAUCCGAUACUGUCAGGCUAGAGGUAGGUAGGGGAGAUCGGAAUUCCUGGUGUAGCGGUGAAAUGCGCAGAUAUCAGGAGGAACACCGGUGGCGAAGGCGGAUCUCUGGGCCUUACUGACGCUGAGGCGCGAAAGCGUGGGGAGCGAACAGG